UGGGGAAUAUUGGACAAUGGGCGCAAGCCUGAUCCAGCCAUGCCGCGUGAGUGAUGAAGGCCCUAGGGUUGUAAAGCUCUUUUGUGCGGGAAGAUAAUGACGGUACCGCAAGAAUAAGCCCCGGCUAACUUUGUGCCAGCAGCCGCGGUAAUACGAAGGGGGCUAGCGUUGCUCGGAAUCACUGGGCGUAAAGGGUGCGUAGGCGGGUCUUUAAGUCAGGGGUGAAAUCCUGGAGCUCAACUCCAGAACUGCCUUUGAUACUGAGGAUCUUGAGUUCGGGAGAGGUGAGUGGAACUGCGAGUGUAGAGGUGAAAUUCGUAGAUAUUCGCAAGAACACCAGUGGCGAAGGCGGCUCACUGGCCCGAUACUGACGCUGAGGCACGAAAGCGUGGGGAGCAAACA
rnacentral:rRNA from 1 species